AUGCCAGCGCAACAAGACAGAGACCCUGCGGCCGUCUGGGUUACUUCAGCCCUUGGAGGUGCCGUCUCAGGUCUGGGCGGAUAUCUCCAUGGACUUCAUCGAGGGCCUCCCCAAGGUGGGCGGCAAGUCGGCAUCCUCACGGUGGUCGACCGCUUCUCCAAGUAUGCCCACUUCAUCGCGCUCGGCCAUCCGUACACGGCGGCGUCCGUGGCCCGGGCCUUCUUCGACGGCAUUGUCCGCCUACACGGGUUCCCUGCUUCGAUCGUCAGUGAUAGGGACCCAGUAUUCACGGGCCAUGUCUGGCGCAACCUCUUCAGGAUGGCGGGUGUCCAGCUCCGCCUGAGUACGGCGUUCCAUCCCUAG
rnacentral:rRNA from 1 species